UACGGGGGGGGCAAGCGUUGUUCGGAAUUACUGGGCGUAAAGGGCUCGUAGGCGGCCAACUAAGUCAUACGUGAAAUCCCUCGGCUUAACCGGGGAACUGCGUCUGAUACUGGUGGGCUUGAAUCCGGGAGAGGGAUGCGGAAUUCCAGGUGUAGCGGUGAAAUGCGUAGAUAUCUGGAGGAACACCGGUGGCGAAGGCGGCAUCCUGGACCGGU
rnacentral:rRNA from 1 species